rnacentral:tRNA from 1 species
UCCCAGGUAGCUCCAUGGUGAAGAACCUACCUGCAAUGCAGGAGACUCAGGUUCAAUCCCUGGGUCAGGAA